rnacentral:rRNA from 1 species
AGAGUUUGAUCAUGGCUCAGGACGAACGCUGGCGGCGUGCCUAAUACAUGCAAGUAGAACGCUGAAGGAGGAGCUUGCUCUUCUGGAUGAGUUGCGAACGGGUGAGUAACGCGUAGGUAACCUGCCUGGUAGCGGGGGAUAACUAUUGGAAACGAUAGCUAAUACCGCAUAAUAGCAGUUGUUGCAUGACAACUGUUUGAAAGGUGCAAUUGCACCACUACCAGAUGGACCUGCGUUGUAUUAGCUAGUUGGUGGGGUAACGGCUCACCAAGGCGACGAUACAUAGCCGACCUGAGAGGGUGAUCGGCCACACUGGGACUGAGACACGGCCCAGACUCCUACGGGAGGCAGCAGUAGGGAAUCUUCGGCAAUGGACGGAAGUCUGACCGAGCAACGCCGCGUGAGUGAAGAAGGUUUUCGGAUCGUAAAGCUCUGUUGUAAGAGAAGAACGAGUGUGAGAGUGGAAAGUUCACACUGUGACGGUAUCUUACCAGAAAGGGACGGCUAACUACGUGCCAGCAGCCGCGGUAAUACGUAGGUCCCGAGCGUUGUCCGGAUUUAUUGGGCGUAAAGCGAGCGCAGGCGGUUAGAUAAGUCUGAAGUUAAAGGCUGUGGCUUAACCAUAGUACGCUUUGGAAACUGUUUAACUUGAGUGCAAGAGGGGAGAGUGGAAUUCCAUGUGUAGCGGUGAAAUGCGUAGAUAUAUGGAGGAACACCGGUGGCGAAAGCGGCUCUCUGGCUUGUAACUGACGCUGANGCUCGAAAGCGUGGGGAGCAAACAGGA